UACAGAGGUCUCAAGCGUUGUUCGGAUUCAUUGGGCGUAAAGGGUGCGUAGGCGGCGUGGUAAGUCGGGUGUGAAAUCUCGGAGCUUAACUCCGAAACUGCAUUCGAUACUGCCGUGCUUGAGGACUGGAGAGGAGACGUGGAAUUUGACGGUGUAGCGGUGAAAUGCGUAGAUAUCGUAAGGAAGACCAGUGGCGAAGGCGGGUCUCUGGA
rnacentral:rRNA from 1 species